rnacentral:rRNA from 1 species
UACGUAGGGGGCGAGCGUUGUCCGGAGUUACUGGGCGUAAAGCGUGCGCAGGCGGUUCGCUGUGUCCUGUGUGAAAGCCCCGGGCUUAACCUGGGAAUGGCAUGGGAAACUGGCGGGCUGGAGUGUGGCAGAGGGGGGUGGAAUUCCGCGUGUAGCAGUGAAAUGCGUAGAGAUGCGGAGGAACACCGAUGGCGAAGGCAGCCCCCUGGGCUAACACUGACGCUCAGGCACGAAAGCGUGGGGAGCAAACAGG